GAUGAACGCUAGCGGCAGGCUUAAUACAUGCAAGUCGAGGGGCAGCGGGUGUAGCAAUACAUGCCGGCGACCGGCGCACGGGUGCGUAACGCGUAUGUAACCUACCUUUAACUGGAGGAUAGCCCCGAGAAAUCGGGAUUAAUACUCCAUAAAAUUAUGAGAAGGCAUCUUUUUAUAAUUAAAGCUCCGGCGGUUUUAGAUGGGCAUGCGUGACAUUAGCUAGUUGGUGAGGUAACGGCUCACCAAGGCUCCGAUGUCUAGGGGUUCUGAGAGGAUUAACCCCCACACUGGUACUGAGACACGGACCAGACUCCUACGGGAGGCAGCAGUAAGGAAUAUUGGGCAAUGGACGCAAGUCUGACCCAGCCAUGCCGCGUGAAGGAUGACGGCCCUAUGGGUUGUAAACUUCUUUUGUACGGGAAAAACCUUCGAACGUGUUCGAAGCUGAUGGUACCGUAAGAAUAAGCAUCGGCUAACUCCGUGCCGGCAGCCGCGGUAAUACGUAGCGUG
rnacentral:rRNA from 1 species